rnacentral:rRNA from 1 species
GGAGCUUGCUCCAUUUGAGACCGGCGCACGGGUGCGUAACGCGUAUGCAAUCUACCUUAAUCAGGGGGAUAGCCUCUCGAAAGAGAGAUUAAUACCGCAUAACAUUAUGAUAUGGCAUCAUAUUAUAAUCAAACAUUUAUGGGAUUAAGAUGAGCAUGCGUGACAUUAGCUAGUUGGUGAGGUAACGGCUCACCAAGGCGACGAUGUCUAGGGGAUCUGAGAGGAUGACCCCCCACACUGGUACUGAGACACGGACCAGACUCCUACGGGAGGCAGCAGUAAGGAAUAUUGGUCAAUGGGCGCAAGCCUGAACCAGCCAUGCCGCGUGCAGGAAGACGGCCCUAUGGGUUGUAAACUGCUUUUAUACGGGAAUAAACCUCGGUACGUGUACCGAGCUGAAUGUACCGUAAGAAUAAGGAUCGGCUAACUCCGUGCCAGCAGCCGCGGUAAUACGGAGGAUCCAAGCGUUAUCCGGAUUUAUUGGGUUUAAAGGGUGCGUAGGCGGC